GUGUAGGACAUCAUGCUGCAGAGGUAAAUGGUUGAUUCUUUUGUAUCAAACAAAAGACUGCUGCAUAACCUGGUGCCUGGUGUUGGAAAUAAUUUACUCAGAUAUUUACUGUAUCUACGUGUUUGUAUAUAUAGUUUUAACUAGUCGUCUUGUCAUUACAAAGUAUAAUUGUCUUUCAAAAUGCAAUUCUUUCCUUCGCACUUUCUGUCCAUUUAUUAUUGUAGCAGCUUUACUUCUCCAUUCAUUGAGAAUGGCACCUUUUUCUAUUACAUGGGCCAGUGCUGGUUAGUAAGAUAGGCCAACUUUCUUCUCAAGAAUUUCAGGCUGAUAGAAUAUUGUUUUUACAGAUUACUAUGACAGCUCCUUGUCAAUGUUCAUUUUCCUCAUUCAUUUGGUUUUGAAUUGGGACGUAUUUGGCUCCUACAUAUAGAAAGUUGUUCCUUUCAGACUCUGAAUUUAGUUUCCUGGAUACAGAAUGUAUAAAUGUUGCUAUUUUCUCCUCAUUUUUGUGAAUUUGCUCUCUUUCCUAUGUAUUCUUUGUUCUAGUCUCACUCCCCCAGCUCCCACCAGCCUCUCCUCUUUCCAAGAAUUGUUUAGCCAGAACUGCUCUCUGUGGGCAUCUUUUGUGCACACUUCACAGAUAUGAUACAAAUUACCUUUGGAUUUGUCAUUCAAGUUGCAAUUAGACCUUGCUCUUUUUUUUCCCCUCUUUUUUGUUAUUGUAUAUGCUAAUGUAGUUGUAUUGACUUUUAUGUCUCAUGCUGGGCGUUGAGGACAAUAAAGAUUGUGUAAAUGUGCCAUCUUGUGCACCUCGAAACAUUCAUUGUAUGAUAUCAUGUGGCAAUGCUGUGACAGGACAAGUCCAAUGGAAAUCAAG
rnacentral:misc_RNA from 1 species